AAGAUAGGGAGAUUAUUCUGGAUUAUCCAGUUGUGCCCAAUGUAAUCAUAGAGUUCUUAAAAGUGGAAGAGAGAUGCAGAAGGGAAGAUCAGAGUCAUAUGAUGUAAGAAGGACUCAACCCAUCAUUACUGGCUUUGAAGAUGGACAGGGGCUAGAAGCAAGGUAUGUAGGCAACCUCUAGUAGCUGGAAAAGGCAAAGAAAUGGCUUCACCCCUAGAGCCUCCAAAAAGAAAUGCAGCCCUGCCAACACCCUGAUUGCAGUGCAAUAAGGUUAGGCUUUUGACCUCCGGAACUGUAAGAUAAUACGUUUGUGUUGUUUUAAGCCACUAAGUUAGUGGUAAUUUGUUAUAGCAGCCAUAAGUAACUGAUACAGUUCCCUCUCUCACUCAGGGUAAAGGCAAAAACCAGGAGUGAAAUCCAAGAUUCCAAAUGACCUGGCCCCUGUUACCUUUGAGGCCUCAUCUCCCACUUUGCACCUUAUUCAUUAUUCAGCCCCACAGCUUUGUAGAAUGAAUGUGUGAUUUUGAAACACUUCAUUUUCCAGAAGAAAGAGAGGAGAGGUGACUUGCCCGUGGUCCCCCAACAGGGACUUGAACCCAGGACUCCUGCUCAACUACCGGUAGGUUACUAUCUCUAGUGCACUUAGCUUCCACUCCAGCUUCCUCCCCCAGGAAGUCUUGUGGUUAAGUCUGCCCUGGCCACCUACCAAAGUGUUUAAAUUCCCUUCCAGUGAGAGAAUCUUUAUGGUGACCAUAUUAUUCCCUGCCAGAAGAGUUCUUGCUGUGUGAAAUUCAAAUGACAAAAACAUUUUCCUUUUAAAAGGCAGAGAAGAAAUGUCCAGGGCAUCAUAUUACACUGAUCAAGACAGGCAAAUUCCCUAGGAGGAAAAGACAGGCCUGGCUUUCCUUCAGCCCAGGAGGUUGACUGUGUGAAUUCCUGUUCAUACCCCAGGAUGUAGAGUGAGCUACAUGGAAACCUGGACACAUUGCUAAGUGUUGUUGGCAGUAUCAAUGAGUGCAAAUGGCCCUCCUUUUGGGCUGACCUGGCAUUUCUCUUUCCAAAUAAGAAGGUUUGAUUGGUUAGCUUGUGGCCACUGAGUAGAGGGCCCCACUGGAUGUUUGUGCUGAGUCACCUUGGAGCUGAUCAACUUCCCUUGUGUACAUCUGAUAUGUGUUGUAGGCUGUUCUGGGUCUGAUCUCUGGUCCAAUCAGCUCUGGCCACGAGAGCAGAAGUGGCUUCCCCUACAAAGCUUGUGGGUACCAGCCUGGCAGACACUGUAGGCCUAUUAUGUUGUUUGGAUUUUUUUUGGUCUGGCAUUCUUUUCUUUUGGGAACUUCUUCUUCUAGGUUGUUCUCCUGGGGUUCUCAAUUCCAGCCCUUCCCCCAGCCUCAAGGAUAGGCACAUGACCCAUGUCUGGCCAAUUUAUAGUACCCAAUUCCUUGGACAAUAAUGAUUGUUCUAGAGAGGAUGCUCGUGGGAUCUAAGCAGGGACAAUCAGAAUCCAACGGGAAGAACAAUAUACAGACUGAAGGAAGUAGACUCUCUCUUUCUAUUAGGAUGUCUAAACUAGGAGAACGUGAAUCUGGAGCUGCCCAGUGGAGAGCUCUUGUUUGUGCAGGAAGCUAAACAGAGUCAAGCAAAAGUGAGAAGCGCAAGGAGAGAUGGUUCUUGAGAUGGAGUCUGGCUAAUAUGGGGGCUUAGGUGGAAAGAAACUGAUGGGCCCACCUGUCACAGACAAGAGAGGACUUAGAACCCAUUCCUGCAGAGAUUAAUGCUACAAUUCCCUCAAAGGGGGUCUUUAGAGAGCCUGGCCUGGGACAUCCACAAAAUGCUGGCUCUCUCCAGUUCUUCACUCAUGUGGCCAAAACAGACGCUGUUGACCUGACCCGUCUUCACAUCACAUUUCGAGUCCCUAACAGACCAAUAAAUGGCUCUGUGGCCUGAUUCCAAAUUCCAUGGAGAGAGAAUCCCUCAGUCUUGGUCCAAUCAACUCCUGUCCACGGGUGAGAACUUGUAUCUGGGGCCUUCGUUUGUGGGUAAAGAGCCUGCUGGCAAAUAUCCUUAAAGGUUUCUCUGUGAGCACCAAAUAUAGUUUUAAAGAGCAGACAACCUCCACUUAUCCACCAACCUGGCAGGUCAGGGGGAAUCUAGCCUUCUUUUCAAAUUUUCUGUCCUGCAUUAGACAAUGUCCUUAGCCUUUUAACCUUCUGUCUCCUUAAACGCCUCUCCCCAGCAUAAACCCAUCAUAUCGCUGAGGGGGGAAAAAGCAGACGAAAAGAUUAGAUUCUCUUCCUGUUCUAAACAUGAAGUUAAUCUACUGGAAAAAAACCAUUAUUGAUUUUUA